rnacentral:lncRNA from 1 species
GGAAAUAAUAUCAACUGUAGUCAUAUUGUUACAAUGGUACAAAAGAUGCAUUAUGCUCCAGUACACAAACCAUGACUAUAUUUAAAGUUCAAAAAAUGCCAUAGAUGUUUGCUUAAUUUCCAUAAUUUCUAUAGGAAAAUCCCCCUGAAACCACUGACUUUUGUAAAAACCUGCACUGAUUCCCCUGCUUUCCUUGUUUUUCUAUGGUAGUCCAUACUUUCUUCUACUUUUUAUCAAGAUUCAAGAUUUUAUUGUAAAGCAACGCUCAGACACAUAUAUGUGUAACAUGAGGUACAUAUAUACAAUGAUAAACAUGAUUUAUAACACAAAGGUAACAUUCAAAAAAAAAAAAACAAUAAAAAACAAUAAAAAAAAAAAAAACAAAAAAAAAAGACAAAAAAGAAAUAAUUCAUACAAAUUAAUAUACAUAUCACAAUAAGUUAUUCAGCUUUCUGAUAAAAGAUGCCACCUGUCUAUAUAAAUUAACAUUGCAGUAAGAUAACAUUACAGAUAAUUUCUGCUUACUUGGAUGCUUCGUAUAAUAACUAGGGAUAUGUUGUUCUCUAAAACAAACCAGUUGAGGAGACUUGCAUAUAAAAAGAUAGUGAAAUUCGUCUCCUACACUCUCUUUACAUAUGUGACAUUUUCGGUCCUCCGCCGGAAUAUUGUACCAACGCCCAGUUUCAAUGGGAAUUUUUAUAUUAGACGUUCUUAAUUUUGUCAUCCAGAUUCUUGCAUUUUCCGGUAUUUUUAUAAGAUAAUUUUCAAAACCAAAACAGUUUUUAUAACUAGAAUAAAAUACACCUCGGGAAGAUAAUUGGACAUCUUGAUGCCAUUUUUGUAUAUAUUGGUCUUGUAAAACCUGUUUUAUCAGAUGCUUGUAGUCAGCACUAUCUUGAUUGACAAACACAUAUCCUAGUCCUGUAUCAUUAAAUAUUGAUUCUAUAAAGUUCAGCCAUUUGAAUGAUUGACCGC